rnacentral:tRNA from 1 species
GCCUGGGUGGCUCAAUCCGUUGAGCGUCUGACUUCAGCUCAGGUCAUGAUCUCACGGUCUGUGAGUUUGAGCCCCGCAUCGGGCU